GUGGGGACAGGCUGUGCCGGGACAGGGCGGAGGAGGAUUACACGGCUCGGCUCAGCCGCUGCUGCCAGACACACCUGGGCAAGAAGAAAGGAAGGAAGGAAAACCAAGCAAACAGCCGGUGUCCACUCCCGGGCGCCCCGUGGAGAAAGCCCUUCCCGAAAUAGCUUGCAAACAGCUUCUGGCGGAAAACUCCCCAAGCCUCUUCACGUCCACAGCCGUUCCUCAGCCUCUCCUUGUCUUUCGUGACCUUGACAUUUGCGAAGGGCACUGACCAGGGUUUGUCGGAUGUUUUCUCGUGAUUUGGUCGUCGAUGCUCCGUUCUCAGUGUCGUGUCGGGUCCCUGACGUCGCUGUGCCUCAUCGCUGCGAUGCUCCCUGGGUCCCCCGGCUGAAGCGGUGUCUGCCGGCUUCUACCGUAAAGCUCUUGUUUCCCCCUUUGUAAUUAAUAAAUAUUUUGGGGAAAAUACA